rfam:Dipodomys ordii contig_30227, whole genome shotgun sequence.
UGGGAUGUAGCUCAGUGGCAAAGCACUUGCCUAGCAAGUACAAUGUCCUGGGUUCGAUCCCCAGUACCAA